CGCCGGGCGGCGUUACGUCACGUUACGUCACGUUACGCCACGCGGCGCGCCCCGGAGCGGGGCUGAAGGGCGGGGUGUAACAUGGCGGCCAUGGAACUGCGACCAGCCGGCACCGGGCACUGAGAGCAGGGAACAACAGCCACCUGGAGUACAGCAAUUGUCAGCAGCACUUACACGUGAGCUGUUCCAAGAUACACAACCCUCAUGUAAAAAUGGACCUGCUCAGUAAAUAAUUUCAAAGGAGGGGAUUUGUUUGCUUUGAAUUAAUGCCUCUUUGUACUUAACCUGAGUUCUGAAAGACAGGAAUUAAAGAAAUACCUGUGGAAUAGAAGUGGAAUGGAGGCGUCUUAGGACAAGGGAUCGGGAUGCGAUGUUGAAAGGUGAACUGAACUACUGUCUGUGCUGCUACUGCUACUGCUGGAGGAACUGGAAUCUGAUUCAAACUCCGAAGAUGAGGAAGUACUACUCGAGGAUGGAGAAGAUGAGGAUGUAGAGGAGCUCUCAUCACUGUCACUAUCAGAAGAGGAGGAGGUAGAAGAGUCAUCGCUGUCAGAUGAGGAAUCACUAGCCGAACUGUCACUGCUGCUGCUGCUGGAACUUGUUAUACUUUUAGAUCUGAAAGAAAACAAAUACACAGAUGAGAACAGUCUGCUACAGACAGAGCGCUCUUUAUACUCUGAUGUAAUCCAAAGAUCAAUUAAUUGGUCUGAACAUUUCUGGGCCUGACAACUUAGGAAACUUCCCUCCCCCCUUGUUCUCCUCCCAGCUCUCAGUUCUACCUCCUCAUUCUGAAAGAACAAAUUUUGGCUAUUUGAGCAACAGCAGAAUGACACUGUGCAUGUGAAGUAAGUUGUCCCAUACAACAUCAAAAUGAAUGCAGGACUACAGGGGAAAAAGAUAAGUGUGAAAGCUGGCAAAGCUCAUAGGAACAACUAGCAACUUCAUUGGCCUACCUCAACAGAAGAAUAAAGUCACAGAAAAAGCAUGAAUGUGCUCUACUGCUAAAGCUUCAGGCAGAAAUUAACGAAGCCUGGAUGCCUAGAACUGUAACAAGUGAAAUAUGAGCAAUGUAAAUGUUGGUUGGAAAUGUCAUCAAUGAUUUCACAAACAUUAGAAUUGUGCUCAAUGGAAACUGUUCUUAGAUUACUCCUGACAAAAGGAGCCAAACUUUCUACAAUUACACAGUGCUUAUGUUUUCAGGGUAGGAGAGAAGGUGUGGAAACAGUCCAGAAUAAAGACAUUAGGAACACUGGAAAGUGGAUUUGUGCAUGCUCUGCAGCUUCAUUUAGUUCUCCGUUUCUAGCCCUUACAGUAAGAUAGCUGUUCUCAACAUCAAGGUCUUUAGCAUAAUACUAAUGAACCACUAAAGUUUUUGUAAUACAUCUGCCAUCAGUUCUCUCUCUCCCUGUGUGCAGAUAUAAUGGCUGGUUAAAUACAGACUUUUUGCUGACGUAAAACUAGUCACAAGAUGAAUGAAAAAGGGACAAUUUUAAACUGGCAUUUGGUAUUUUCCGGGCAAACUGUUUCUAUCUAAACAGCUUCACUGCAUUUCAGACCCAUUUAUAUGGACAAGAAUCUGACAAAGGAUCCCCAGAUAGAGACUUUAAUCUUCGUCCUGUCCCAGUCAUCCUUCACACCAAAGAAUCCAUAGAAGCAGUUCUUGGACCUUCAAUAUUCACACCGCACCCUGAAACCUACUCAUGGAAUUAUCAGCUGUUAACACUUCAUACUUCCACCUAGAGGAAAGCAAUAGCUACAUCUAUGAGAGAAGCAGCAAGCAGAUACUUGUUGGCAGAUGAUGCAAUGUGUGGUUCUGCUGUCAGUUACAGAAGGAAGACGGUCAUAGGAUCAAGUAAAAUUCACCUAUUUUAUCUUGUUCUAAUUAGGCAAUGUGACAUCCUAGAUACUAACAAUUGGUAGAUUGUAGAUUAGCAGGUACACCACUUGGAAAAGCACAUUUCUCCAGCAGAUAAGCAUUUAUUCACCUCACAACAAGCUCACAAAUAUUAAUAAACUCAUGAGUUUCCAUGCACAAAUCAUGGAACAACUGCUGCAUUUUGUAAUGCAUGCUAUUAUUCUUCUCAGACUUUAUCCUUUCUAUCUUAAUUUAAAUCAUCUAAAAACCUCUGGUGAUUUUAACACACUAUUUAAAUCAGAUCUCCAAUGCUGGAUACAAUUACCUGAAUGUUUAUGUGCUGUGUGGCCUGAAAGAACGAGUGAAUUAGGACACAAUUUUACCCUUUAGAGAGGUAGAGUUGUAUGUAAUUCAUAAAAGAAAAUGGGGGCUUUCAAUCAGCAAAUGAAGGAUGCCACACGGGAAUGAUGAAGCCAACUCACACACAGCAGCCAGCCGUGCAUCACCUAAGGUUACAGCAUGGAACAACAGCAGUUUUGCCUGUUCCUGUUUUUCUGGUUCAGCCUGUAUGUUACUGCUGAUAUCAAAACAAACACACACUAUGUAAAAGGUUCGUGCUCUCCACCAGAACCCAAAACUUUGGCUUGUGUUUUUUAAAUCUGGAACCUGCAUAUUCAACAGUAACGCUUUGCUCAAUUUUCUGCAUUUAAUUUUUCCUGGAUCACAAUAAGGAGACAUAAAUCCCGCAUUAUCUCAAAAGAAAGAAUACCAAUUUGGAGAGUAUAGAAGUUUUAGGGGGGAAAAAUAUGGCUGAACAACUUCCUACCACAAAUCCUUCUGCUCUUUUUCAACUGAACUGGCAGCAGUUCAGAGCUCAAAUCCUCUGAAGUACAGAAUGCCAAAGAGAAGACGGCAGCACACGAGAAAGCUGAGGAAGGAAAAAAUCUGAACUCCAUUGCUUAGAAAUCAGUUGGAUUUAUGGCCUCACCACUUCCAGGUAAUGGCAACAAUAAAUGGACACUGCUGAUAAAGAGCCCUCCAGUAAUCCUGAUCAGCCUCUUAGUUCUGCUAUCAAGCAUUCCAAUAAAGCCAAAUGUAACAACAGCUUCAUAUAAAUGCAUGUUUUUAACAAACUGCUGUGGCUCACUGAAUGACUGACACACAAAGCAGGAGCCUUUAUCUUAAAAACCUCCUGAAAUUAUUUUUCGAUCAGACUUAGAGACAGACAACAGCCUACUAAAUGCAAAGAGACAACGAGGUGAUUAACGUGCAGACAUGCCCCAUGUGUCAAAACUAAUGCUCAGCAGGAGCACUACAGCCAGGGCUCAAGCUGCUCCUGAAAGUGUUCUGCUAAUAGAGAUUGAAGUGGAUUCCCAAGCUAGCAGUACUACAGAUUCAAAGGAGGAAGACUGUCCUAGUAAUCUGAGCCAAAAAUUCUUAUUUCUUUUCCAGGAGUGAAGAGCAAUGGGAGGUGAGGUGGGAACAGAAUAUUUACCUCCCAGAUUUUUUAAUUAUUAUUAUUAUUUUCAAGAUAAUUACUUCAUUCUAUAAACAAAGCUUCAGAGAUACAGCUGUUAAGAAAAGGGGAUGCAAACAACAAAAAGAAAAGCAAGGCAGAUAGGUGGAACAAGUACAUACUAGAAACAACAUGCUAUUCUUGCACAUUUAACUCCUUGAUGAACUUUGAGGCAGAAACAGGAAGAUUACUGCUAAGGCAACACCACAAAGAGAAGAAAAAGUAGGAAAAAAAGGAAACAAGAAACAACAGAGGACAAAGAAUUUAAGAGUUUCUGGACAUGGAAGAGUAGACAUUCUCCCAAAUAUCUGCUAUACAAACAUCUGUAAGGAGGCUAAAAGCAGGAGCAUCAAAGUCAGCAUUCACAAUUUGGCCUUUCACUUUCUAAAUACACCCAUUCCAAACUGCCCGCUGCAACAUCCAAAUACAAGAUCACGCACUGAAAUAGCUGCACAUCUUGCCAACACUGCUCACAUACCUUUUUUUCUUUGUCUUCCUUUCUGCAGUACUUUCUCCAGUGCUAAUUAGAGGGGAAAAACAAUGCCUUUGGUUAAUGCAUAGGAAAAGUAAAUAUGUAGCAGCACAGUGGAGCUGAGUUCAAUGUCAAUAAACUGGUAUCCCACUGGCACAGAGCUGUGCUGCCCAAAACUCAUUCAAUAUGUAUUUUCAGUCAUUUUUCAAACUACAAGAAAUAUCUACAAAUCCAGGAAA